rnacentral:tRNA from 2 species
GGGGCCGUAGCUCAGUUGGGAGAGCGUCGCGUUCGCAAUGCGAAGGUCGUGGGUUCAAAUCCCAUCGGCUCCA